ensembl:lncRNA
GGGUUUUUUGAGGGUUAAGGUGAGGGAGGCUAAGGAAAGUGGAAGUGUAAAGCUGAGGAGGUAAGAGCAUUCCUAGAAAAUGAAGAGUUUUGCAAAAUUUGAUGUGGAACUUGUACUAAAUCAUGAUGGGAAUGGUGAUGUUGAGAAGAGAAGGUUUAACUGUUAGUAGUAGCUUCACAAGAAAGACUUUGGGUUGGCAGCUGGAUUUUAUGAUACUGAUCCUUACCCUUUAAAGGCCUGAGACUGCUUCUGCAGGUACAUGGGGACAGGGGUUGCCAUGGAGAAAGGGGAUAAGCAAAGGGAGCGGAAAAGGAAGAAAAGGAGAAAAGGCAAUAAAGAGGACAAAAAUGGAAGCUAAGCCAAAUGGCAGAGCCCUGACAGCAAAGCCAGGAGUUCUCAGUGCCACAGAUUAUGUGAGGAACUGCUGAAGAAGCAAUUCCGCAAACCUAGGUAAGGAGAGCUUGAGCACCCCGGGGCCUGGCUUUUGUAGCAGGGCCACUUCAAGGCCUGCGACCAGAGGCAUCAGCGCCUGCUGGGCCAGGCAGGGCUCCUGCGUACCUGGAACUGCACAGAGAGGGGCUGACACCGAAGAGCAAACCGCUCCUACAGACCGAGCGGAGGCGAUGUGCGUUCCCACGUCCCCCCCGCCCUCCGGAUCGCUCCGGGCCGUAACGAGCCGCCGCUCCGCGGUGGGCAGCGUCCUGCCGGAAUCCGCUCCAUCGGGCCCAUCGCAGGCGGCCGGGCCGCAGAGCAGAGGCGGGCUGCCCACGGCAGCCCCGUGACCGCAGGCGUCGCACGCGGGGCGGGACUCAGACGCGGAGCUCGCCGGGGCAGCGCGC